rnacentral:sRNA from 1 species
GCCAGGCGCAGUGGUGCCCGUGUGUAGUUCCCAGCUACUUGAGAGGCUGAGGCAAGAGGAUCACUUGAGUCCAGGAAUUCAAGACCAGCCAGGGCAACACAGUGAGAUCAUGUCUCAA